rnacentral:piRNA from 1 species
UGCCCACCUAGUUUUGUGAGCUGUGCAU